rnacentral:lncRNA from 1 species
AGAUGGGGAAGGGUCUCACUUGGUGACAGGGUCAUCUCCAAACUUCAUGAGCAUCCGGAUGGCUGUUGGUGCCGUGUAGAACUUGGUCACCUUGUAUUUGUCCACAAUGCUCCACAAGCGGCCUUCAUCUGGCUCUCAGCUCAAAUGCUACCUUCUUAGAAAGUCUACCCUGAACAGUAGCAGACACCCCCAUCCCACCUGUUGUUAUUAUUCAUCACACCUGUUUUAUUCCCAUACAACACAUAUUUCUAGGGACAUCAAGGGGCCCAAGAACAAAGGAACCAGGUUUAGCUCUAGCAGUAAACUCAGUGGAGCAGACAGACAGAGAACAGAUGAACAUACAGACAAGCACAUAGGGAAGCAGUGCUCAAGAGCAGUGAAGAAGUGGAUACCUGGGGUCGGAUGCACUUGGAUUUCUCUUUCAGCUUACCCUGUUAAGAGCCCAUGGAAUGGAAAGGCUGAUGAGCAGGGUCCAAGGAUAGAGCUGGGACAAAAAAUUGAAAAUCACUACCUUUGGACUUGAGGACAUGGCUCAGUGGUAUAACCCUUGCCUGGCAUGGGAGAGGCCCUUGGCAAUCCAAGCAUCAGAAAAUGUGAGUUGUAGGGGCAGUGGGGAAUAAAGAGUCAUUUUUUAAAAGA